rnacentral:rRNA from 1 species
GGGACACGUGGUAUCCUGUCUGAAUAUGGGGGGACCAUCCUCCAAGGCUAAAUACUCCUGACUGACCGAUAGUGAACCAGUACCGUGAGGGAAAGGCGAAAAGAACCCCGGCGAGGGGAGUGAAAAAGAACCUGAAACCGUGUACGUACAAGCAGUGGGAGCACGCUUAGGCGUGUGACUGCGUACCUUUUGUAUAAUGGGUCAGCGACUUAUAUUCUGUAGCAAGGUUAACCGAAUAGGGGAGCCGAAGGGAAACCGAGUCUUAACUGGGCGUUAAGUUGCAGGGUAUAGACCCGAAACCCGGUGAUCUAGCCAUGGGCAGGUUGAAGGUUGGGUAACACUAACUGGAGGACCGAACCGACUAAUGUUGAAAAAUUAGCGGAUGACUUGUGGCUGGGGGUGAAAGGCCAAUCAAACCGGGAGAUAGCUGGUUCUCCCCGAAAGCUAUUUAGGUAGCGCCUCGUGAAUUCAUCUCCGGGGGUAGAGCACUGUUUCGGCAAGGGGGUCAUCCCGACUUACCAACCCGAUGCAAACUGCGAAUACCGGAGAAUGUUAUCACGGGAGACACACGGCGGGUGCUAACGUCCGUCGUGAAGAGGGAAACAACCCAGACCGCCAGCUAAGGUCCCAAAGUCAUGGUUAAGUGGGAAACGAUGUGGGAAGGCCCAGACAGCCAGGAUGUUGGCUUAGAAGCAGCCAUCAUUUAAAGAAAGCGUAAUAGCUCACUGGUCGAGUCGGCCUGCGCGGAAGAUGUAACGGGGCUAAACCAUGCACCGAAGCUGCGGCAGCGACACUAUGUGUUGUUGGGUAGGGGAGCGUUCUGUAAGCCUGCGAAGGUGUGCUGUGAGGCAUGCUGGAGGUAUCAGAAGUGCGAAUGCUGACAUAAGUAACGAUAAAGCGGGUGAAAAGCCCGCUCGCCGGAAGACCAAGGGUUCCUGUCCAACGUUAAUCGGGGCAGGGUGAGUCGACCCCUAAGGCGAGGCCGAAAGGCGUAGUCGAUGGGAAACAGGUUAAUAUUCCUGUACUUGGUGUUACUGCGAAGGGGGGACGGAGAAGGCUAUGUUGGCCGGGCGACGGUUGUCCCGGUUUAAGCGUGUAGGCUGGUUUUCCAGGCAAAUCCGGAAAAUCAAGGUUGAGGCGUGAUGACGAGGCACUACGGUGCUGAAGCAACAAAUGCCCUGCUUCCAGGAAAAGCCUCUAAGCAUCAGGUAACAUCAAAUCGUACCCCAAACCGACACAGGUGGUCAGGUAGAGAAUACCAAGGCGCUUGAGAGAACUCGGGUGAAGGAACUAGGCAAAAUGGUGCCGUAACUUCGGGAGAAGGCACGCUGAUAUGUAGGUGAAGUCCCUCGCGGAUGGAGCUGAAAUCAGUCGAAGAUACCAGCUGGCUGCAACUGUUUAUUAAAAACACAGCACUGUGCAAACACGAAAGUGGACGUAUACGGUGUGACGCCUGCCCGGUGCCGGAAGGUUAAUUGAUGGGGUUAGCGCAAGCGAAGCUCUUGAUCGAAGCCCCGGUAAACGGCGGCCGUAACUAUAACGGUCCUAAGGUAGCGAAAUUCCUUGUCGGGUAAGUUCCGACCUGCACGAAUGGCGUAAUGAUGGCCAGGCUGUCUCCACCCGAGACUCAGUGAAAUUGAACUCGCUGUGAAGAUGCAGUGUACCCGCGGCAAGACGGAAAGACCCCGUGAACCUUUACUAUAGCUUGACACUGAACAUUGAGCCUUGAUGUGUAGGAUAGGUGGGAGGCUUGGAAGUGUGGACGCCAGUCUGCAUGGAGCCGACCUUGAAAUACCACCCUUUAAUGUUUGAUGUUCUAACGUGGACCCGU